CAGAAACGUCUAUCCGAAUCAUCAGACUCUGUUCUUCAAGGAGAAUCAAAAAGAAAGGGACGUGGCCAAGAUGUGGAUACUAUCUUCAGAAGACAGAAUAUAGUCAUGUUUGGUGAAUCUACCGGAGGAAGUGCAUUGUUAAAGACGGGCUGAACUCCUCUCACUGUCAAAGAUCACAAUCCAUGUACUAUGUAUGCAUCUAAUUUGAUCAGCCUGUGUCAUCGCUGGACAAAGGAACAUGUGAAUCCUGUCAAAGGGGACGGGGCCCAGGUGUGGAUACUAUCUUCGGAAGACCAAAUAUACUCUUGCCUGGUGAAUCUAAUAGCGGAAAUGCACUGUUAGGUACAUGUCAGGUCAUAAACAUAAAGGACGUGCCACAAAUAAUAAUACAAUUUCAGAAAGACAGAUAUACAUCCUUCCGAUGAUACUGAAAAAGAAAAUCCAUAAAUGAACGCGUCUUCCCUCCCUUCUAGCCAAAACUCUUCCGGUACG